rnacentral:rRNA from 1 species
UACGUAGGGUGCAAGCGUUGCCCGGAUUUAUUGGGCGUAAAGGGCGCGUAGGCGGCUCUGCACGUUCGUUGUGAAAUCGCCCGGCUCAACUGGGCGGGGUCAGCGGAUACGGCAGAGCUUGAGCAAGCUAGGGGGCAAUGGAAUUCCCGGUGUAGUGGUGGAAUGCGUAGAUAUGCGGAGGAACACCGAUGGCGAAGGCAAUCCCCUGGGCCUGCACUGACGCUCAUGCACGAAAGCGUGGGGAGCAAACAGG